rnacentral:rRNA from 1 species
UCCACAUCCCUGUGAGAAUGCCCUCUACCAAAACACNNNNGAGGAGCGAGUAUCAAGCACGCAUUAUGCAGCUCAAAACACUUUGCUUUAGCCACGCCCCCACGGGAGACAGCAGUGACAAACCUUUAGCAAUGAACGAAANGUUUAACUAAGCCACACUGACAACCAGAGUCGGUCAAUUUCGUGCCAGCCACCGCGGCCAUACGAUUGACUCAAGUUAAUAGAAUCCGGCGUAAAGGGUGUUUAAGACUUAAACCCAUACACAAUAAAGCUGACCUGUAACUAAGUCGUAAAAAACCUCAGUUACAGUGAAAUGCACUACGAAAGUGGCUUUAGUACUCUGAAUACACUAUAGCUAAGGUACAAACUGGGAUUAGAUACCCCACUAUGCUUAGCCCUAAACCUCAAUAACUCAGCUAACAAACUUAUUCGCCAGAAUAUUACAAGCAACAGCUUGAAACUCAAAGGACCUGGCGGUGCUUUACAUCCGUCUAGAGGAGCCUGUUCUAUAAUCGAUACACCCCGAUAAACCUCACCACCUCUUGCCAUCAGCCUGUAUACCGCCAUCUUCAGCAAACUCCCUAAUGAUCGUAAAG